UCUUCUCCACAUUUUUGUAUAAGUCUUCCAGAGCAGGCAGGACUGCUUCGUACAUGAAGAGCUCCACGGAGAAGUCCCCUUUGAUGGGCAGCUUCAAGCCACUGGCUAUAGUCUCCUUCGAUUUGAUCAGUAAUUUAGAGAACCUUUCGAGAAUGCAAGCUGUUAUAUAUGGUUGGUGUUUAUGCUAUUCAGAAAUAUCAAAGACGCAAACCAGUUGAAUAGGAACGGUUCGAAGUGACACAUCAAAGAAGUGUUCCCACAUGAUGUUAACUCAGUAUUUCAAAUAAAAUUUAAAAUUGUAAUGAAAUUAAUUAUUUAAUUAAUGAUAUAAAAAUAUAAAAAAAUGUAAAAGUUUUUUUAUGAAUAUUAAAUACCUCUGCUAACUGUUG